GGGAGGCGGGAGGAGGGCAGAGGCGAGGACCGGGGGUGGGGCGCCUCCGCCCGCCAGCCGCUCCCGCAUUAAAAUUUCAUGGGCGCUGCAGCAGCUACAAAGACGACGCCGGCUGCGCUCGGGGGACCAGAGGGAGGGAGGCUGCGGACGAGUGCGGGGAGGAGUUUGCGAUGGGAGGCGCUUGCAGGGGCUCCCCCAGUUCUGCGCUGUGAGCCGGGGCACAAAGAGCCCUCUGCACUGGCGCCGCAAGACCGCGGACGGGAGCUGGAGGCAUCUCCCUGCCCACCCAUGUCUUCCAGACACGUUCACGUGGCCACCAUGACCUUGACAGCAUCAGAGGAGUAACCCAGCCUGCUCCUAAUCCCUGGCAACCACAAAUCUACCUUCUGUCUGUAGAGGGUGGCCUUUUCUGGACGUUUUGUGUAAAUGGAAUCAUACAGCAUGUGGUCUCUUGCGCCUGGCUUCUUUCACCCCAGACUGCAGCAAGUUCCUGGGACAGAGGAGAAAGAAGGGAAUUUCCGGGUUCUUCGAGAUGUUCAUGAUCACCCUGGGAAGGAGCCUUGCAGAUAAGUAUUCAAAAGUACCAGCCCCCAGCCUACCAGCCUGCCCUCUCCUGGUCGGUGCAGGAAAGUCCAGUAUCCCAGAAUCCCCAAGGUGGGGGAAGAACUCAGCGAUGUGGCUCACUCACUUUCCUACCUCUGAGGCCACAAAGAGCUCGUCUCCGUUUUCUGGGGCCCCAGAAAGUAACUUUCACAGCCCACUUUUGGCAUCAAGGCUAGAAUUUUAUAAACUCCACUCUCAGUAACUUCUGAGGACCUGAGUUGAGUGACUUCAUCUUGAGUACCUGUAAACCCGGUGUCAGGAGGAGGCUGGGGACUCCGGGUGAUUUGGGCUGGCCCUUCCCUUCUCAGUUCUGGCCCUUUGACAUCUUCUCAAACUUGGCUAGGGGCCCUUCGCGUGGCAAUCAAGUGGGGACCUUGGCACCGUGACCCUCGGGCACAUGCUUGGCAGUGUAAGGGUCUGAGUACCUCUCCAGCCCUGGACCCGUGAGCCAAGUCCGGGAGCUGACAGCAAGCUCUAAAAAUACGCUGAGAGGACCCCUGACUCCCAGGCCCAGGUCUGCCAGUUGAUGAACAGAGCUUAGCUGUCACUGAAAGCAAACCCUGGGAGACAAUGCUGGGUCACGAUGAGUGGGCAUUCUCUGGUCUUCUCAGACUGGUAACAUGGGGUGGUCAUCAAAGAGUCCCAGCCCACCCUCUGGCUCUGCAAGCUUCCUCUGGUGCCUGGGGCCUCAGAAAAGAGAUGGGGAGGGGGACGGGGGCGCGGGGCAGAAAGGUAACUGAGUCUGAGUGGAAGGGCCUCAGACUCGGGGUUGUUACCGUGCGCCGUGGGUGAGUGUCAGGACCAGAAGGGCCCUGUGGCCCAGAGAGAGGGCCGGAUUCCCAGGACUGCACAGGAUGGCAGGGCUGGGAUCAGAGCUCUGGAUGCUGGCUCUGUUCAGUGCUCACUUGAACUGUCGUCAAGCUGAGUCUGUCCUGCCUUCUCCAGGGGUCACAUUCUGUGGUUGGCGGGCAACAGGGAGGUGGGCAAAGGCAGCAAGGAGGGUAUUCGGGGGUGGGAGGAAGGGAGGUGGGGGGCCGGUGUGUCUGGGCCCAGCCUCCCUAGCUCCUGGGGCCUUCCUGUCAGCAGAGUUCUGGCCCGGCCCGGGAUGGAGAGGGGGCCUGGGCGCGGUUUUCUCCUGCGCCGUGGUUGGCUCCUUUGUCUUCCAGGAUGGGCCUACGUGGGUCUUCGUGGGGGAGGAGCUGGAAGCUGAGCUCGGGCUGCCAAAGUGUUGGCUGGGCGCUGCCAGCACAAACGUGGACCAAGCGCCUUCUCCCAGCGAGAUGCUGAGGCCCCAGAGGGCAACAUGAGAUGUGGUUCCGCCCUCUCUGAUCUUCAGGCGGCUCUGCCCUGGCUGCAUCUCAGGACUCCUGACCAGGUCUUCUCUUUGGAGCCCGGGUGACCCUAGACUCUGGCCAUGGUGACACAGGAAGUGGCCUUCUGGACAAUACUGGAACCCUGGACAAUUCCCUGAAGACCUCAUCCUUCCUGACUCCUGGGAUGGAGCCUGCCAUGGGUACAGGCCCCUCUGGGAUGGUUCUCAGCUGAGAUCAGGACCUGGCUCUGGAGGACAGCUCGAGGGAUGUGAGGGAGGCCGGCAGCCCACCGUCCCCGCUGCGUCUGUCUGGACCUGCCUGCUGGGCCCUCUGUCCAGGCCUGGAGGCCCUUCCUGACCCCGAGUGGACCUGAUUUCUCUUGGCAGCCCUGCUGGAGACCAGAGCUCAGCCUGGGCCAGGGCCUGACUGACCACACCUCGCCAAGGCUGGGUCUUAAAGGACCUUAUAGGACAGGGGCAGGAUCACAGGACUGGGUGUCAAAGAGGAGCUGCCGGUGGGAGGGAGGGUGGACGCAGCUCCCGGGGCGCCGCCGGCUGGGUCUGCCCUGUGCCGUUGGCUGUGUGAGUGAGUGACGCUCAUUCUUGUGGGGGCUUCUUGGAUGGGGCUUUCCUGCGCUUCUGCUCUCCCGGAUGGUGACCGGGGUGGGGGGCAGCCUGGGCCUUCCCCUUGAGUUGUGGAGCUCUGGGAGGGGCAGCUGGAGGGGUAGAGCUAUCCUGGACGGAGAGAGUUUCCAGGGGAUGAGGAGACCCAGGCUGGGGAGGCUCGCCAGAAGGAGACAGACGCUGAGCCUUGCUCUCGCCUUCCAAAGGGAAUGGUCUGGAAUCAGCCUCACCCCAAGGCUUGAGGGAUCACCCCAGCCGUAUCUCAGACUCCUGCUCCUUGUCACACUCCUGCCCUUGGGGAGCAGCGGCAGGCUCCACACACAUCAGGCAGCUCCCCCAUCACGUGGCUGCGGCUGCGGCUGCGGGCUCACUGGCCUGCCUGCCUCCCUGUUCACUCCCUCCAGCUCCUUAAGAGGGGCCGGUCCCAGUGCUCGCACAGGAGCAGCUGUGGCCUUCCUUAGGCAAGUCUAGGAGCCCAGUGUCCUUUUCUGGGGGUGGGGAGGGGACCUGGGUGAGUCAGCUUGGGCUGCCAUUAACGGAAUACCAUGCGUGGAGGGCUGAACCGGCAGAAAUGGAUUUUCUCACAGUUCUGGGGGCUGAAGGUACAAAACCAAGGGGCCAGGGAUGGUUUCUGGUGAGGCUUCUCUCCUUGGCUCACAGG